rnacentral:rRNA from 1 species
CACGUAGGGCGCAAGCGUUGUCCGGAAUUAUUGGGCGUAAAGAGCUCGUAGGCGGUCUGUUGCGUCCGCUGUGAAAACUCGGGGCUUAACCCCGAGCCUGCAGUGGAUACGGGCAGACUAGAGGUAGGUAGGGGAGAAUGGAAUUCCCGGUGUAGCGGUGAAAUGCGCAGAUAUCAGGAGGAACACCGGUGGCGAAGGCGGCUCACUGGACCGGUACUGACGCUGAUGCGCGAAAGCGUGGGGAGCAAACAGG